GACGAACGCUGGCGGCGUGCUUAACACAUGCAAGUCGAACGGAAAGGCCCCUUCGGGGGUACUCGAGUGGCGAACAGGUGAGUAACACGUGAGUAACCUGCCCUUGACUUCGGGAUAACUUCAUGAAACUGGGGCUAAUACCGGAUAGGAAUCCUUGCUGCAUGGUGGGGGUUGUAAAGCUUCGGGGGUUUUGUAUGGACUCGCGGCUUAUCAGCUUGUUGGUGGGGUAGUGGCUUACCAAGGCUUUGACGGGUAGCCGGCCUGAGAGGGCGACCGGACACAUUGGGAGUGAGAUACGGACCAGACUCCUACGGGAGGCAGAAGUGGGGAAUAAUGCACAAUGGGCGGAAGACUGAUGCAGCAACGCCGCGUGAGGGAUGACGGCCUUCGGGUUGUAAACCGCGUUCAGCAGGGGCGAAGCUUGUGGUGACGGUACCUGCAGAAGAAGCACAGACUAACUACGUG
rnacentral:rRNA from 1 species